rnacentral:rRNA from 1 species
UACGAAGGGGGCUAGCGUUGCUCGGAAUCACUGGGCGUAAAGCGCACGUAGGCGGGUCUUUAAGUCAGGGGUGAAAUCCUGGAGCUCAACUCCAGAACUGCCUUUGAUACUGGAGAUCUUGAGUCCGGGAGAGGUGAGUGGAAUUGCGAGUGUAGAGGUGAAAUUCGUAGAUAUUCGCAAGAACACCAGUGGCGAAGGCGGCUCACUGGCCCGGAACUGACGCUGAGACGCGAAAGCGUGGGGAGCAAACAGG